CAGUCGCCGCGGUAAUACGUAGGGUGCAAGCGUUAAUCGGAAUUACUGGGCGUAAAGCGUGCGCAGGCGGUUAUAUAAGUCAGAUGUGAAAUCCCCGGGCUCAACCUGGGAACUGCAUUUGAGACUGUAUGGCUAGAGUGUGUCAGAGGGGGGUAGAAUUCCACGUGUAGCAGUGAAAUGCGUAGAUAUGUGGAGGAAUACCGAUGGCGAAGGCAGCCCCCUGGGAUAACACUGACGCUCAUGCACGAAAGCGUGGGGAGCAAACAGGAUUAGAGACCCCAGUAGUCCCUGUCUCUUAUAC
rnacentral:rRNA from 1 species